ACUCCUACGGGAGGCAGCAGUGGGGAAUAUUGCACAAUGGGCGCAAGCCUGAUGCAGCCAUGCCGCGUGUAUGAAGAAGGCCUUCGGGUUGUAAAGUACUUUCAGCAGUGAGGAAGGUGGAUAUGUUAAUAGCAUAUUCAUUUGACGUUAGCUGCAGAAGAAGCACCGGCUAACUCCGUGCCAGCAGCCGCGGUAAUACGGAGGGUGCGAGCGUUAAUCGGAAUUACUGGGCGUAAAGCGCAUGCAGGUGGUUUGUUAAGUCAGAUGUGAAAGCCCGGGGCUCAACCUCGGAAUUGCAUUUGAAACUGGCAAACUAGAGUACUGUAGAGGGGGGUAGAAUUUCAGGUGUAGCGGUGAAAUGCGUAGAGAUCUGAAGGAUACCGGUGGCGAAGGCGGCCCCCUGGACAGAUACUGACACUCAGAUGCGAAAGCGUGGGGAGCAAACAGGAUUAGAUCCCUGGUAGGCUCUGC
rnacentral:rRNA from 1 species